GGGAGGGAAAGGUAUAGGAGGUGGGGGUGGGGGUUUCAGCCAGUCUCUUUCCCAGCAGUGAUGCCGUCUCAGCCACCAGUUCUCUGCCAGCGGGGUCAGCACAGGCAUGGUGCAGAACAUUGAGUUAUGGGGGUCCAGGGUAAACUUGGCUACCUUGGUAAACAUGGCUACAAGGUUUCGGGACACAGCAUGGAAACCACUACUCUAGACGACAGGUACGUACAGAAAAUGUUGUGUGUAAGUGGGGUCUUUGCAGAUGAAUGAACAUCUUAUUUGCCCAAGGGGACCCUCUGUGUUUUUGGCUGCAAACUAAACAGACUCAUGAAGGAAUACUUUAGAGAGACUGUGAAGCUGCAUUUCUAAUCAGGGAGUAUAGCUGGAGCCCCUGAGAAGCAGAGGGGUAGAUGGGCCAGCUUGUUUAAGAUCAGCAGGUUACUGGGUACAGCCUGUGGUGAAACUCAUUGUGAAAGUGAGUGAGUGUGUUGUUGGAAACACAAAGAAGCCAAGCUGAAUGCCGCCCGAGGCACUAAGCUAGUGGUAGCUCCAGCAAAUCCCCAGGAUGAUGUUGGUGUAUACAUGGCAUGGAAAGACUUCAGGUCACCACCAGUGCCCUCAAAAGUCCAUUUUCUGACACUAAGCCCAAUGAUUUGCUCUUUUUGCCCCUGCCUCCGGCUCUGUCUCCUUCCAUUGGCCUCACUCUGCACCUGUCCCACAGGCAGGCAGUGGCAUCCUCAGCUCCCGGACUGCUGGGGCCACCAGGUCAGCUGGCCCCUCACCCUUGCUUGGACAUUUGGUUUGCAUGCUGAAAUCAGGAUUCCUGAGUGACGUGAGGUCAGGCCCAGGAUGGAGAGUCACAAGGAAGAGGUGGAAUUCCAUAGGUGGAGGUUGAAGAAAGUGUUUGGUUCCAGCUGGGGACUAGAGAGCAAUGAGAUUUUUAAUUUUUUAAUCCAACUAUAAGAUUUUCUGAAUUAAAACUACCUGAUAUGCUUUGGAUGUUUGUCCCCUCCAAAUCACAUGUUGAACUGUGACCCCUAGUGUUAAAGGGGGGUUCUGGUGGAAGGUUUUGGAUCAUAGGGUGGACCCCUUGCCAAUGGCUUAGAAUCACAUGUUGAACUGUGACCCCUAGUGUUAAAGGGGGGUUCUGGUGGAAGGUUUUGGAUCAUAGGGUGGACCCCUUGCCAAUGGCUUAGAAUCACAUGUUGAACUGUGACCCCUAGUGUUAAAGGGGGGUUCUGGUGGAAGGUUUUGGAUCAUAGGGUGGACCCCUUGCCAAUGGCUUGGCGUCGUCCCCUUAGUCGAGUGCGUUCUCAGUUAGUUCACACCAGAUCCGAUUGUUCAAGAGUCUGGGACCUCCUCCCCUUCUCUCUUGCUUCCUCUCAAGCCAUGUGACAUGCCUGCCCCCACUUUGCCUCCCACCACAAUUGGAAGCUUCCUGAGGCCUUCACCAGAGGCAGAUACUGGCACCAUGCUUCCUAUACAGCCUGCAGAACGGGAAAUCUUUGAACACCUCAGUUUGUCAGUGGCCACAUCUGUACAACGGGCUACUGGAAAUGUGCUCACCUUCAGAAGAUGCUAUUUCAAACCCACGCAUUUGCCCUGAGCCAUCUGCUUUCUAGAUGGCCCAUCUUGUAGCAACUCAUAGAUGACUUUUUCAGAUACUUGGUUGGGGGCGGGGUCAAGACCGUGUUUUGAGAAUAGACUUUUUCCCUGUGGGAAACUGAAAGGCUUGUGGUGUAAUGAUCCCUGGCCUGGGGCCUCCUUUGCACAGUUAAUUAAUUCCAACGACAAAUAUUUACUGUGCAUCGAGCGUAGCAGGCAGUGCCCUGACUGAUUAAGAUGAUCUGAUAUGGUAAUGCAGGGUGGACUUGAGAAAUUAAUGAUUUUAAAAUGUAGUUAGCAACCUAGGGUUCUGGAGGGACAAUGCCAGACUUUCUUCUGGUGUUCAAACCGUCCCAGACUGUGAAGGAACUGGUCCGUGAUGUCUGCCUGGGCUGCUUUGCCUCUGCUCCAUAGCUGAGGGAAGGGGCAGCUCUUGGCUCUCUGCCAGUGUUUGUAAUCCGCACAGCAGGCUCCCAUGUCUUCUGGGUGGGCCUGCAUCUUUUGUUACAUAUUUGUCCCCGAAUCCAGACCACUUCUGAGCUCUCUGGGGAGAAUGUGCCCAAGAGCUGUUCAGUGGGGUGGGCAGGCUGGUGGAAGUCCUCAAGCCUAAUUUGUUCCGCUUCCCUUCAGCCCUUCAGUCCUAAUUCAUUUGUUUGUAUUUGGGGGAAAAAAAAUCUCUCAUUAUUGUCUAUCCUUUAUUUCCUGGAAUUCAACAUGAAAGUUGUCAUUGUUUUAGUUUGUGGCCUCCAAAGAAAUAAACCAUUUGAGCAACAACUGCAACAAUAGCAACAAUUCUUCAUGGCAUGGGCGUCAGACCGGUUGACUUUGGAAUCUAGGUGUCCAUUUUGUUAGAAUUGAAUGUGCACUGGGUUUGGGGUGGGUGUGAGGGAGGCUGUAUUUAUUUUUGAACUUCUUUCGCCCAUAAUGAAAACCAGCUGCCUCUCCAACAAGUGCAUUACUCUUCCCAUAGAAAGCCUCAUGGACAGACUGAAGCUACAGGGGUGGCAAGUCACAUAGAUGGAUGUUUCUAAUUUGAUCUAGUGAGCUUCACCCUCUAUCUCUCGGUCCUCCAGUCCUUGCUCGUGGGUUGAUGGACACCUUGUCUCCUUCCAUACUUGUGGAACCUAGGGGUACUUUUAGUUAGUGGAGGAGAAAUGUGUCUCUUCUCCCCACUGAUUCGCCAGGGUGGACAUGGAGGGGACCUCCCCACCCUGGGAAAGGUGGCCCCAUUCAGCUUGAGUCUGGAGUGAGACCAAACUUUCCUGCCUGCUGCAUACAACUUCAACUCCAAGUCCAAGCUGGGCCCGUUAUUUUGGCUGCUUGGAGAACAUUCCUUCCCAUGUGCUGAUGCAUCAGGGUAUCUCCAGCUUCCUUUUCUCUGGAGGGGUGGCACUGAGUUAAAAUCCUUCCCUAGGUGCAUGGGCAGACGAGUAGGAGGGCUGAGGUGCAGGAAACGCAGCCGAGUGGAGAGCAGGACGGCAGACAGUGCUGUGCUGGCCACCUCUGUGGGUCUGGCCACAGGAGAAUGCACAAGAAUGAUUUACUAGGUGCUUCCUCACCUCUCAUGGGUGGUGCCGGGAGAUGAUGGAAUGCGCUUUUUUCCCCGUAAGAGAAUGCUUUUGGCAGAGACAUUUCCCAGUUAUUAAAAAACGGGGCAAUGAGGUGAGCUAUAAAUGCAAACCUCCAUAUAGGAAAAUCCAGAAGAAAUGAGUAAGGACGAGGUGAUGCAGUGGAGAUUGUGGGGAGAGAGAAAAGAUUAAAAACAGGCGAAGAGAAGAACAAUGAAGCUGUGUUGAGACUGAAUGGGAGAGAGCGGGAGUUCUGUAAAGGCAAGAAAAACAUCAGCAAUGGAGUCAAGGAAAGCUCAGCGGUGACUUUGCUCCUUGCCCGCAGUGUAGAAGCAGAUAGAAGGCUGGGGAGGGGUUGACUAGGCAGGUUGAAUUUGUAGGUCAGUGGAAGAAACAGCAAGAAUGAGAAAAAGGAGCUCGGGGUGCUUAGGUCAUUGGACACCCUUGAAGCUGUGGGUAAUGUGCACUGCGGAAAGAUUUGGGCGAAUUUCCACAGAACCAAUUCUGAGAACACGAUAUGGUGUGUCUUGACUCUUUAUGGGGGGACGUGCCUUGUAGGACCAGAGAAAUGCGCACAGCUUAGCCUUUACAGCUAUAUCCAGUUUCCACGGAGUUCUCGUUCUUUCCUGGUUCCCAUAACGCUUGUCUGUGUUCAAAUAUAUUUACCUCUUGAUACUCUAUUCAGCAUAGUGAAUUGUUCCUGUUAUUCGCUGAGUUCUUUUUAGUGUAUUUUCUCAUUCUUUACAAGUCUGAGAUUCUUAGGGACAAGGAGAGUGUCUUGUAUUUCUUUUGUGUUAUUCACAGUCUUGCAGAGUGGUGAGGAAAGGGUAGGUGUAGACAGCGUGAAAUUAAAUCGGACCUAAAGCUGCCUCCUACGUAUUUCAGGUUUGGCCUGAAGGUUUCUGCACACCCAGCCAACUGCCACCUAACAGGAUGCGUAAACAGACUGUAACCUCCUAGUAACAAGUCACUGAGUCUCAGCCAGUCACAGGCGGUAACUGUUCAAACCCUGCUCAAAUCAGGCAAACACUGAACUGUAACCAGUCUGGCUGUUUCUGCACCCCACUUCCAUUUUCUGUCCAUCACCUUCUGUUUCCUAUCUGUAAAUGUUAUCUGACCCUGUGGCAGCCCUGCGGUUGCUCUGAACCUGUUCUGGUUCUGGGGGCUGCCUGAUUUGUGAACUGUUCUUUGCUCAGUUGAACUCUUAAAUUUGACUUGUCUAAAGUUUUUCUUUUAACAAUGGACAGUGCUGAAAUGAGGACUCUGUAGGAGAAAACCAGCCAGCCAGGCUGCCCCUUCCCACCUCUCACUUCCUUCCCACAUUUAUUGAAUGCUUACUGUGUGCGAUGCCCUGUUCUAGGCCCUGGACACGAGCAGUCAACAGACAGAUGAGCUCUGGUGAAGCUUCCGUGUCAGUGGGAGAGAAAGGCAGGACAGCAGAAGGAGUGCACGCACAAACGCUCCAAGCAGGGAUCAGUGCUAUCAGGGUGAGAAGGGGAGAGAGGGCCAAGGGGCUGCAGGAGAGGGUGUGUGACUGCAGUUUACACAGGGUACAGGGAAUGUCCUUUUUCUUUCCAAUGUCAGUGACACUUGCUUAGAGACCUGAAUGAAACAGGAGGCUCUUUGGUGGAGAAGCCAUGCUCACGGGAGCAGGGAGGUGCUGAGGAGAAAGGUGCCAGUGUGCUCAGAGGACAAGGAGGAGGCUGUGGGCUGGAGCGGAGUCAGGAGGGGUGGAUGAGAUCAGAGAGGGAACAGGGGCUGGACCACCGCAGUUCUUGUAGUCACAGCAAGUGAGGAUAUAGGAUCCUUUUCUGGGUGAGGUAGAAGCUUCGGGGUGGAGGAGGGACUGAGACCACUGGGGCUGAAAGAGUUGAGAGGCAGGAAUGGGUGGUGGCUUGGGCCAGGUGGGCGUGACUGAAAUGAAAGAAGUGGUUGGAUUCUGGAUCUUUUUGGAAGAUGGAGCUGACAACAUUCGCCCAUCUGAGGAAUGAAAGAAGGAGGGGAGUUGAGGAUGACUCAGGGUUUUUGGCUUUGUCAGAAGAUGUGUUUAGCUUGAGCUUUGGGACUGGACAAGUUGUUGAGCAAAGGAAGCACUGGAAUGAGCCUACACCUUGAUUUCCUCAGUGACUUGCUGGAAUGGUGUGUACAUGCAUGGUUGUUGCCAAACUCUGCCUCAGGUCAGAUGAGGAUGCUGAGGUAACAGGCUCAGAGGAGUUAUUCACUCCACAAAUGUGUAUAGAGUAUCCGUUACAGCAGGAUUCUAGAUGAUAUUUUAGGUUGUUUUGCCUCCUUUAUCCAGGCAGAGUCUGCUAUUGUUUUGGGACCAGAACUCAUUCUGAGUAAAAGAAAAAAAAAGUCUAAUCCAAUUCCACUUCAUUGUUGCUGCAGGGUGGUCAGGGCAGUUUAUUUUAUUUUGAGUUCCAGGGUACAUGUGCAGGAUGUACAAGUUUGUUACACAGGUAAACGUGUGUCAUGGUGGUUUGCGGCACCUAUCAACCCAUCACCUAAGUAUUAAGUCCCGCAUGGGCAUGCAUUAGCUAUUUUUCCUGAGGCUCUCUCUCCCCUGUCCUCCUGCCAUCUCCGCAACAGGCCCCAGAGUGUGUUGUUUCCCUCCCUGUGUCCAUGUGUUCUCAUUGUUCAGCUCCCACUUAUGAGUGAGAAUGUGUGGUGUUUAGUUUUCUGUUCCUGCUUUAGUUUGCUGAGGAUAAUGGCUUCCAGCUCCAUCCAUAUCCCUGCAAAAGACAUGAUCUCAUUCAUUUUUAUGGCUGCAUGGUAUUCCAUGGUGUAUAUGUGCCACAUUGUCUUCAUCCAGUCUAUCAUUGAUGGGCAUUUGGGUUGAUUCCAUGUCUUUGCUAUUGUGAAUAAUGCUGCAAUGAAUAUAUCUGUGCAUGUAUCUUUAUAGUAGAAUAAGUUAUAUUCCUUUGGGUAUAUACCCAGUAAUGGGAUUGCUGGGUCAGAUGGUAUUUCUGGUUCUAGGUUUUUGCGGAAUCGCCACACUGUCUUCUACAAUGGUUGAACUAAUUUACAUUCCCACCAACCAUGUAAAAGCGUUCCUAUCUCUCCUCAGCCUCGCCACCAUCUGCUAUUUCUUGACUUUUUAAUAAUUGCCUUUCUGACUGGUGUGGGAUGGCAUCUCACUGUGGUUUUGAUUUGCGCUUCUGUAAUGAUCAGUGAUGUUGAGGUUUUUUCAUAUGUUUGUUGGUCACAUAAAUGUCUGUUUUUGAGGAGUCUCUAUUCAUGUCCUUUGUCCACUCUUUAAUGAGGUUGUUUGGUUUUUUUCUUGUAAAUUUGUUUAAGUUCCUUGUAGACUCUGGAUGUUAGGCCUUUGUCAGAUGGACAGGUUGCAAAACAGGUUGCAAACAUUUUCUCCCAUUCUAUAGGUUGUCUAUUUGCUCUGACGAUAGUUUUUUUUUUUUUUUUUUUUGAGACGAAGUCUCACUCUGUCGCCCAGGCUGGAGUGCAGUGGCAUGAUCUCGGCUCACUGCAAUCUCCACCUCCCGGGCUCAAGCAAUUCUCCUGCCUCAGCUUCCCAAGUAGCUGGGAUUACAGGCAUGCACCAUCACACUUGGCUAAUUUUUAUAUUUUUAGUAGAGACAGGGUUUCACCAUGUUGGCCAGGCUGCUCUCGAACUCCUGGCCUCAGGUGAUUCACCCACCUCAGCCUCCCAAAGUGCUGGGAUUACAGGUGUGAGCCACUGAACCCGGCCUGAUGAUAGUUUCUUUUGCUGUGCAGAAGCUUCUCUUUAGUUUAAUUAGAUCCCAUUUGUCAAUUUUGGCUUUUGUUGCCAUUGCUUUUGACAUUUUUGUCGUGAAAUCUUUGCUGGUGCCUACGUCCUGAACGAUAGUGCUGAGAUUUUCUUCUAGGGGUUUUUAUAGUUUUGUGUUUUACAUUUAAGUCUUUAAUCCAUCUUGAGUUAAUUUUUGUCAAAAAUAUAAGGAAGGGGUCCAGUUUCAAUAUUCUGCAUAUGACUAGCCAGUUCUCCCAGCAUCAUUUAUUAAACAGGGCAUCCUUUCCCCAUUGCUUGUUUUUGUCAGGUUUGUUGAAGGUCAGAUGGUUGUAGAUGUGCAGUCUUAUUUCUGAGUUCUCUAUUCCAUUCCAUUGGUCUAUGUGUCUGUUUUUGUACAAGUACCAUGCUGUUUUGGUUACUGUAGCCUUGUAGUAUAGCUUGAAGCUGGGUAGCGUGAUUCCUCCAGCUUUGCUCUUUUUGCUUAGGAUUGUCCUAGCUAUAUGGGCUCUUUUUGGUUCCAUAUGAAUUUUAAAAUAGUUUUUUCUAAUUCCGUGAAAAAUAUCAAUGGUAGUUUGUUGGGAAUAGUAUUAUAUCUAUAAAUUACUUUGGGCAAUAUGGCCAUUUUCAUGAUACUGAUUCUUCCUAUCCAUGAGCAUGGAAUGUUUUUCCAUUUGUUUCUGUCCUCUGUUAUUUCCUCGAGCAGUGGUUUGUAGUUCUCCUUGAAGAGGUCCUUCACUCUCCUUGUUAGCUAUGUCCCUAGGUAUUUUAUUCCCUUUGUGGCAAUUGUGAAUGAGAGUUCAUUCAUGAUUUGGCUCUCUGCUUGUCUAUUGUUGGUAUAUAGGUAUGUUUGUGAUUUUUGCACAUUGAUUUUGUAUCCUGAGACUUUGCUGAAGUUGCUUAUCAACUUAAGAAGCUUCUGGGCUGAGAUGAUGGGGGUUUUCUAGAUAUAGAAUCAUGUCAUCUGCAAACAAGAUAAUUUGGCUUCCUCUCUUCCUAUUUGAAUACUCUUUAUUUCUUUCUCUUGCUUGAUUGCCUUGGCCAGAACUUCCAAUAGUACAUUGAAUAGGAGUGGUGAGAGAGGGCUUCCUUGUCUUGUGCUGGUUUUCAAGGGGGAAUGCUUCCAGCUUUUGCCCAUUCAGUAUGAUAUUGGCUGUAGGUUUGUCAUAAAUAGCUCUUAUUAUUUUGAGGUGUACCUAGGUGUACCUUCAAUACCUAGUUUAUUGAGAGUUUUUAACAUGAAGUGAUGUUGAAUUUUAUUGAAGGCCUUUUCUGCAUCUAUUGAGAUAAUCAUGUGGUUUUGUCUUUAGUUCUGUUUAUGUGAUGAAUUAUGUUUAUUGAUUUGCAUGUGUUGAAUCAGCCUUGCAUCCUGGGGAUGAAGCCGGCUUGAUUGUGGUGGAUAAGCUUUUUGAUGUGCUGCUGGAUUUGGUUUGGCAAUAUUUUAUUGAGGAUUUUUGUGUGGAUAUUCAUCAGGGAUAUUGGCCUGAAGUUUUCUUUUUUUGUUGUAUCUCUGCCAGGGUUUGGUAUCAGGAUGAUGCUGGCCUCAUAAAAUGAGUUAGGGAGGAGUCCCUCCUUUUCAAUUGUUUGGAAUACUUUCAGAAAAAAUGGUACCAGCUUCUCUUUGUACCUCUGGUAGAAUUCAGCUGUGAAUCUGCCUGGUCCUGGGCUUUUUAUUUUUUUGGUUGAUAGGCUAUUUAUUACUGCCUCAAUUUUAGAACUCAUUAUUGGUCUAUUCAGGGAUUGAAUUUCUUCCUGGCUCAGUCUUGGGAGGGUGUAUGUGUCCAGGAAUUUAUCAAUUUCUUCUAGGUUUUCUAGUUUAUGUGCACAGAGGUGUUUAUAGCAUUCUCUGAUGGUUGUAUUUCUGUGGGGUCAGUGGUGAUAUCCCUUUUAUCAUUUUUUAUUGUGUCUAUUUGGUUCUUCUCUUUUUUCUUCUUUAUACAUCUGGCUAGUGGUCUAUUUUAUUAAAUUUUCAAAAAACCAGCUCCUGGAUUUGUUGAUUUUUUGAAGUGUUUUUCAUGUCUCUAUCUCCUUCAAUUCCCAGUGCACUUUAAAUAGAUGUUAUUUUUAGAAUGAUUUUAGGUCACAGCAAAAUUGAGGGGAAGAUGCAGACUUCUUAUACAGCCCCUGUCCCCACACAUGCACAGCCUUCCCCACUAUCAGCAUCCCUCAGACUGGCACUUUUUUUUUUUUUAAACAAUCGAGAAACCUACAAUGACACAUCAUUAUCACCCAAAAUCCGUAGUUGGCAUUAAAGUUCACUCUUGGAGUCAUGCAUUCCAUGGGUUUGGAUAAAUGUAUAAUGAUGUGUAUCCAUCAUUAUAGUAUCAAAAAGAAUGGCUUCAUUGUACUAAAUAUCUCCUGUGCUUUCCCUAUUAACCCUUCCCUCCCAUUAAUCCCUUGUAACCACUUAUCUUUUUACUGUCUCUAUAGUUUUGCUUUUUCUAGAAUAUCAUAUAUUGGAGUCAUAUAGAAUGUAGCCUUUGCAGAUUGGCUUAUUUCACUUAAUACACUAAAGGGUCCUCCAUAUCUUUUUGUGACUUGAUAUCUCAUUUCCUUUUAGUGCUGAAUACAAUUCCAUUGUUGGGAUGUACCACAGAAUUUUUAUCCCUUCAACUACUGAAGGACAUCUUGGAUGCUUCCAAGUUUUGGCAAUUAUGAAUUAAGCUGCUGUAAACAGGUUCUGAGUGGACAUAAAGUAUUGAACUCAUUUUGGUAAAUACCAAAGAGUAUAACAUACUUUUACUAUACAGUUCCUGGAUUAUGUGGUAAAAGUAUGUUCAGUUUUCUGCCAAACUGCCUUCCACAGUGGCUAUACUACUUUGCAUUCCCACCAGCAAUGAACGAGAGUUCCCGUUGCUCUACAUCCUUGCCAGCAUUUGGUGUUGUCAGUGUUCUGGAUUAUUCACCAUUUUAAUAGGUGUUUAGUGGUAUCUCAUUAUUUUAAUUUGCAAUUACCUAAUUAUAUGAUGUUGAGCUUCUUUCUAUAUACUUAUUUGCCAUCUGUAUAUGUUCUUUGGUGAGGCAUCUGUUUAGAUCUUUUGCCCAUCUUUUAAUCAGAUUGUUCAUUUUCUUAUUGUUGAGUUUUAAGAGUUCUUUAUAUAUUUUAGUUAACAGUCCUUUAUCUGAUAUAUCUUUUGCAAAUAUUUUCUCCCAGUCUGUGGCUUGUCUUAAUUCUCUCUACAGAGUAUUUUGCAGAGCAGAAGUUUUUAAUUUUGAUGAAGUUCAGCUCAUCAUUUCUUUCUUUCAUGGAUCAUGACUUUGGUGUUGUAGUUAAAAAGUCAUCACCAAAACCAAGGUCAUAGGAUUUCUCUUGUGUUACGUCCUAAGUGUUUUAGAGUUUUGCAUCUUAUUGAUGCACUUUAAAAACUUUCUAUGGCUUCUGAAACUCUUGACUCAUUUUCCCCAAUGUCCUCUCCUUCUGGCCUCUUCUUUAAUGCCCCUUGCCACCCAAGUAAAGGGUAGAUAUUGCAUCUCAACUCCCAACAGAUAUAAAUUCCUAUACAACAACAGAUAUAAAAGAAUAUUCAACUCUAAUUAAGUCCGCUGGGAGCUGCUGGGAGACCAAGGCCAACAGGCUAGUCCUUAUUUUCUGGACUGUUUUCUUCAGACCAGCUUUUCUUAUUACUGUGCCUGCCAUCCAUGCCCUGCCCACCCCUAACCUCACUCUUAGCUUCUCUCCAAUUCCGUUUGAGUCAUGAAUCAACUCAAAUGGAGCUGGCUUUUGAAUCCUUUUGGUCAAGACUUCUUGUCCAAUGCUUCUAAAAUGUUGACAAAGUUCUGGAAAUCACAGCUGUGAAGCCAACUCGUGUACUAUGUUUCAGUGAAAAGUUCUGAAGAAGCUGUGAGCAACAGUUCCAUGAAAAUCUCCAUCCCCUCUGUACCUACACUAAGGUUAUGGGUUAUGCCUGAGUGAUCUCAGCAUCAUUUUGAUCCAGUUUGCAUCUAGGGACUGAAUGCCAAUUUCUUUCAAAAUCCUGGGCUGACUGCAUAAACCCAAGAAAAGUUGGCUUUUAUUCCCAGUUGCCUUGAUUUUUGGCUUUGCUUUUGUUAUGUGCUAUGCUUAAAAUUUUUUUUAGGAUUCCAUAGGUUUAACUUUGGCUCAUGUGAGUAAGUAGCCUGUUUAUGCACUGUGGCCCUGAGGAACCAGAAAUCCAUUAGUGCAACUAUGAAAACCUUCUGAAGAACAGGAUAUUCAUCCUUCUGAGAUGUCAUGUUGGAGCAUUGCAGACUGCUCUUCUCCCUUCUGCCUUUACAUACAAGAUGCCUGUUGCUGAGAACACUUGUUCCCACUUCUCUAGCAGGCAAGGAUCUGGGCAGGACAACAACCACAGAUUUUUAACUCUUUGAAGGCAGGACUGUGUAAAAAUAAACACAACUAGAUCUGUUACUUGGCAGUGGAAGACUGGAUUAAAGAUGGAUGUCUGUGUACCCAAGGGUGCCCAUUUCUUAAGCAUGAAUGUGCUUUCCUUUUGGAAUAAAGAAGAAGGUAGCUGGGGAAAGACUGGAAAUUAACAGGUAUCACAGGAUUCCCAGGGUCUUCCACUGAUAAAAAAUGCCAACUUUACUUUUUCAUUAUCUCUUAUAUCUAUGCUCUCUUUUCCAUUCCAUUCUAUCAGUAUCUCUACCCACCUCUUGCCUGGACCAAUGCAAAAGCCUCCCAACCUUCCACCUCAUGCUUUGUUGUUUAUGUGUUAUCGGCCUCAUGAGAUAGAGUUAUCUUGGCUUUGCCACUUACUAGCAGGGCAACCUUGGCAAAGGCAUUAAUUUUUUUCAGAGCCUGAGUUUACUCAUUUGUCGAAAGCAGAUAAUGACAAAACAUGUCCUACUAGUAUUGUGAAAAUUUGUUUAAAAUAUCUGUGUGAACCAAGCCAGACCACAAAGGCUGGGCCAGGCUAGAGGACUGGAGAGGCCAACCAGGCAGACUUGGCGGUGGUGACUUCCUUUUAGCUUUUGCCUCUGCCAGCAAGCAAGGCAAGGAGGCAGAAGAUACAAGCGGACACAUCUCCCCAGCACAAGCCCAAUUUCAGUGAUUUUGGCAGGUUUCAGUGAUGCAGCGGAGGACAAGGCUGACGUCAGGAUGAUGCCACUGUGUAGAUUCUAAAGGAGGCUCUUCUAUUAAUGCCAUUACUACAUCUAGUGCUGGUAUCUGCAUUGUGCUAGGUAUUUUUGCAUACUUCUUUAUAUUCAAUCAACAUGACAAAGAGGGAAAGUAGGUAUAAUUGCCCUCAUUUUACAAAUGUCAUCACUGAUAGAAAGGUUCAGUAACUUACUCAAGACCACAAAAUUAGGUCUUUUUGAAAAUUAAAAAAAAUUCAAACCCAGGAUAUAAACUCAGGUUUAUUUUAUUCCCAAGCCUAUUAAUUUCAAGUUACAGUUAUUAUCAAACUGUAUGUUUCUUAAGGCAGGAUCUGAGUUGUGUAAUCAUUUAUCCCCAUAGUAGCUUGCCCUUAAGAGGUACUUAGUACAUAUUUUUUGAUGAAUGAUGUUGUACAAAUAAUGGUGUCCUGUUUUAUAGGUUAUGGUUUAAAAAUAGAGGAAGUCUAUAGGACUCUUAGAAAGUAAUUAAGAUAUCUGAGAAGACUAAGAUUGAGAACUUCUUGGAGGUCUAAUUCUAAAUUAAACUUCCAAGUUGGGAUGCAAAAAUAAGGAGGAUGUUUGGAAACAUCCCAUGAUUUAUAUUUACAUAAGCUUCAUAAGGAGAAUGAAUACAGACUGACCUUUGCUUGAGAGCCAUGUGAUGGCCAGAGAAAGCGGCAUGGGUUAACAGCCAAAAGGAAAUCAGCAUUAUACUAAAGCAGUGUUUCUCAAAGUGUGUUCCAGGGAAGGAUAUACCCAAGAAACAAUAUCCAUCAAGAGACUUCUAUAAAAAGAGGAGAUAAUUUAAUACAUAUAGAAGCAUGACAUAGUUCCACGGAUCCCUGAACAAUACAGGGGUUGGGGGCAUUGACCCUUGUGCAGACAAAAAUCUGCAUGUAACUUUUUUUUGAGACAGAGUCUCUCUCUGUCGCCCAGGCUGGAGUGCAGUGUUGUGAUCACAGCUCAUUGCAACCUCAAUCUCCUAGGCUUGAGCCAUCCUCCCACCUUAGCCUCCCAACUAGCUGGGACUACAGUAGCACACCACCAUGUCCAGCUAAUUUAAAAAAAAUUUUUUUUUAGUAGAGACAAGGUCUCACUAUGUUGCCCAGGCUGGUCUCGAACUCCUGGCCUCGAGCAAUCCUCCCAAUUCGGCCUCCCAAAGUGCUGGGACUAUAGGGUGAGCCACCAUGCCCAGCCUGCAUAUAACUUUUGACUCCCCCAGAACUUACCUACCAAUAACCUACUGUUGACUGGAAGCCUUAUGGAUAACAUAAAUAGUUGAUUAACACAUAUUUUAUAUCUUAUAUGUAAUAAUAUCGGAUUCUUACAAUAAAGUAAGUUAGAGAAAAGAAAAUGUAAUCGAGAAAAUUGUAAGGAAGAGAAAAUAUAUUUACUAUCCAUUAGGUAGAAGUGGAUCAUUAUAAAGGUCUUCUUCCUCCUUGUCUUCACAUUGAGUAGGCUGAGGAGGAGAAAGAGGAGAGGUUUGUUUUGCUGUUUCAGAGGUGGCAGAGGUAGAAGAAGAAAGUCCACAUGUAAGUAGACUUGCACAGUUCAAACCUGUGUUGUUCAGCGGUAAUCUGUAUACUCUUGUGGUAUAAAUGAACACAUUAAAGGCUGAGAAUUCUUAUAAUUAAAAAAAAAUCCUAACCAAAAAAAAAAAGCAAAAACAAACAAACAAAAAACACCAGUAAAAGGAGUGGGGUGUGGUAGGUGCCUUAGGAUUGACAUUACUAAAAGGUUCGUCAAAAUGUUGCCUUCCAAAAUUAAAGAACAGUCUGUACUAUAAAAUACAGAAGUUGAUUGCAUCCUUCCAAAUGACAGUAUUAACUUUAUUUAACGAGUAUUCCCAAAUAUAGUUAACACUUACUUUUACCCAUAGCCCCUCCCAUUUCAUCACUUAUUUAUGUGCCAAGGAACUAGUGGUUAUCAGAGCCCACUGAGAAAUGCUAGGAAAGAAACUGAGUGGUAGUUUUACAAAAAUCCUUUUUUCACCUUUUCUUAUCUUCUUAUUUAUAUGUUUUUGUGUUUGUUGAUGGAGGUUGGGUUAUUUCAGGUAUUCAUUCAAUAAAUAUUUACCAAAUACCUAUAAAGCAUAAGACACAGUGGUACAUUCUCUGAGUUAGUAGAUUCUUGAUUUCUCUUUGUCUCAUGAGGAAGGGAAGAGGAAGGGGUUGGGGAGAUAGGUGUGCAGGAGUGUUGGGAAUCAUACCUAAUUAAGACGUCACCAUAUCUCCAGCCAUCAGAAGUUAUUCAUGCGCAAAUAACAAAAGCCUAAAUCUCUAUUGCCAUAAAGGAGUUCAGUAUUUUAUUAGGGUUUCCUCCUCAAGUAAUUUUUGGAAACUGUUAUGGUUUGAAUGUAUUCUUCAAAGUUCAUGUGCUGGAAACUUAAGCUCCAAUGUAACCAUAUUGAGAAGUGGGACAUUUCAGAGGUGACUAUCCCCUCAUGAAUGAGUUAAAGCCUUUAUCUUGGGAGUGGGUUAGUUAUCACAGGAGUUGGUUUCUGUUAAAAGGAUGAGUUUGGCCUUCUUCCUCUCUCUCUCUCGUGUGUACACGCAGGCAUGUGCUUUCUCAUCAUGUGAUGUCAUCUGCCAGGUCAUGAUGCAGCAAGAAGGCCCUCACCAGAUGCCACCCCUCCAGAACCAUGAGCCAAAUAAAUGUCUGUUCUUUAUAAAUG
rnacentral:lncRNA from 10 species